GCCAGACUCCAUUUCACACUUCGACAGAGCAGCAGGAGGAAAACAGGCAGUGUUACUGGUUGAUCUCUCAGACUGGAGAAGAUGAGUGAUUGUCUGUCUCUGAAGAGUGACCGGUCUGAAGAGGAACUUCCAGACUUCAGUGAUGAACCUGGACCCUCAGACAGGAAAGGGAAGAGGAAUAGACGUGUUCCUGUGGAGGAGCAGUUG